rnacentral:rRNA from 1 species
CCUAACACAUGCAAGUCGAACGGUAACAGGAAGAAGCUUAGCUUCUUUGCUGACGAGUGGCGGACGGGUGAGUAAUGUCUGGGAAACUGCCUGAUGGAGGGGGAUAACUACUGGAAACGGUAGCUAAUACCGCACAACGUCGCAAGACCAAGAGGGGGACCUUCGGGCCUCUUGCCAUCGGAUGUGCCCAGAUGGGAUUAGCUAGUAGGUGGGGUAACGGCUCACCUAGGCGACGAUCCCUAGCUGGUCUGAGAGGAUGACCAGCCACACUGGAACUGAGACACGGUCCAGACUCCUACGGGAGGCAGCAGUGGGGAAUAUUGCACAAUGGGCGCAAGCCUGAUGCAGCCAUGCCGCGUGUAUGAAGA